UACAGAGGUCUCAAGCGUUGUUCGGAUUCAUUGGGCGUAAAGGGUGCGUAGGUGGCGCGGUAAGUCGGGUGUGAAAUCUCGGAGCUUAACUCCGAAAUUGCAUUCGAUACUGCCGUGCUUGAGGACUGGAGAGGAGACUGGAAUUCAUGGUGUAGCAGUGAAAUGCGUAGAGAUCAUGAGGAAGACCAGUGGCGAAGGCGGGUCUCUGGACAGUUCCAGACACUGAGGCACGAAGGCCAGGGGAGCAAACGGG
rnacentral:rRNA from 1 species